rnacentral:misc_RNA from 1 species
GUAAGAUUUCAUCAACUCGUGGAAGCACUGGCCACCAGCCACCACCACGCCUCGCUCAGUGUGACAGACCCGCACCGGCAGGCUGGACGAGACUCUCCUUUGCAACGAAAGGAGCUGUUGUCAUGUUGUCUGAAGACUAUUAAGCAACAGAGCACUGCCUGAAUUACGGGCCACAAGGAAACACAAUGGGAGACACUGGGAACGAUAUGGUACUCUCCAUAGCAGCCCUGGGCCGUCCUUUCCGCUUGGGGAUGCUAUAUGACAGCAGGACUGAGACACUGGUCCCCGGCAUAACGCUGUGGGAUGAGGCCACGCUUCAGAACAGAACAGAGCAGCAGCAGCAGACCAGUGAGUUUCACGUGAGGUGCUCAGACUCCCUGGAAGAGAAGGCCUCCGCUCUGGAUGUAGCUGCUUCGCUCAAGCUCAGUAUUCUUGGUGGGUUGUUGGAAGCAGAAGGAGCCGCCAAGUACCUGGACAACAGAAAGACUUCCGAUCACCAGGAACGCGUCACCUUGCAGUACAAGUGCACCACAAGGGUAGAGACCAUGACCAUGGACCAGCUGGGCCAAGGCAAGAUUGAGCACCCAGAGGUUUUCGAUCAUGGCUCAGCCACACACGUCGUCACCAGCAUCGUCUACGGAGCACAAGCAUUUUUCGUAUUUGACAGAACACUCUCGGCUUCAGAAACUGAAAACAAGAUACAGGGAAACGUUCAUGCUGUAUUCAAGAAAAUUCCCAUGUUUAAAAUGGAUGGGAAAGGAAAGUUAGACAUGACAGAAGAUGAACAGAAAAAAAUUGAAAAUUUUCACUGCACAUUCAUUGGUGACUUUCUGUUGGAUGAAAACCCUUCCACUUUCAUGGACGCAGUCAGGCUUUACCAAACACUUCCAAAGCUACUUGGGGCGAAUGGAAAGAUGGCAGGUCCUCUUAAAGUCAAACUCUACCCACUGUCUAAGAUUGACAGGAAAGCCUCCAGAUUGGUUCGUGAUAUUAGCAUCAGCCUCGUCAAAGCAGUGGAAGUUUUCUUUGAGGAUCUGCAUGGCUUAAGUGUUAAAUGCAAGGAUAUUCUGAAUUCUGAUAAAAUAAAACGUUUCCUUGCCUUCCAGCAGCAAAUGAGAGACUUCCUAAAUCUAGUAGAGAAAUACAGAGGCAUAAUACAGAAAGAAGUGGGUGAUGUCUUGCCUCAGAUCCGAGGCGGCGGGAAGGAAGAGAGGUGUCUCCUGGAACUCUUCAAUAAGAUACGUCAGUCACCAAUGAGUGUUCUUGCUCUUCGCUCCUGGCUCGAAGCAAAGGACACUCAGAUCACCGUCUUCAACGAGUAUGUACAGGCUAUGUCUGACAUCAAGUUUGUCACAGAGCCAGAAUUGAUGGCUUCUGUUAUGAGAUUUGACAAUACAUAUUCCUUAUGCUUAACUAUUUCCAUGCCAUCAAAUGAUUCUCAACUAGAAAGAAUGAACCAAUAUUGUGAUGGAGGUCAUUUCUCAAACACAAAUGGGAGACUUCACCACACAGACAGCGUGCCCAUGACAGGCAUAACAGGUGUUCUGGAGACCACAGCACAGCAAACAAACAGCACGCCCAUAAUGGUGGUAGCUAGUGGGUUUAGGGAUUUUUUCAAUGCCAAUAAGACCAGAAAAGGAAUCUCCUUUUUGAUAACACAAGAAUUUACAGAAUGCAAUACAUUCCACGCUCGUGUUAGAUUCUACAAACAUGGCAGACAGAUUAGUGACGAUUAUAAGCUGCCAUCAGCACCAGAAAAGGUGAAGGUGUUAAUCGGAGACACCAAGCAUGACAGCGUCACAGUCAGCUGGAGCCCACCUGAGCACGGUGCUUCUACCAUCACCUCCUAUGUGGUCAGCUGCUGCAAGGACUCCGUACAACAUGCCACCUUAAGGGUCACAGAUCUAAACAAGAACCAGGCCACCAUUACAGGUCUGGCUGCCAACAGAGAGUACGAGGUGCGAGUGUGCGGCGAGUGUGAGGCAGGUGACGGUCCCUUUGGAGAUGACACGGUAAUGGUGAAGACCAAACCUGCCAGUCCACCACAGAUGCUGCAGGCCAUGAAGGAAUCACCAAAGAGAGCGUUCCUCACAUGGCAGCCCCCGGCAUGUGUGGGCGAGGGGUGUAGUGUCCUGCAGUAUAUCAUCAAGCAAGAAACUGACCCUGGUCACUGGGAAGAAAUACGAUGCAUUUCCUCAAGUAAUCUGUCAUGCAAAGUGGAGACCACAAAAACUCAUCCCAGCUUCAAGGUGGCGGCAUGCUGUGGCUCAGCAGGCGUCACCUGUGACAGUGAAGCCUCCACCAUUGAUCUUACCAAGGAGAACACUAGUGAAAGCCUUAAACAAUACGUCUGUGCCAACUCAACCUUAAUUCCAGGUGACAUUCGUAUCUACAAGCCAAAGCUAAAAAAGAUCUACAGCGAUCCAAAGAAUAACCUUGAAAAAUACGAGUUUGGAAAGUGUAAAUUCGAUGUUCCGGAGAAAGUGAUCAUGCUGGUAGGAGCGACAGGGUCUGGCAAGACAACGCUCAUCAAUGGCAUGAUCAACUUUAUCUUCGGAGUUCAGUGGAAGGAUACAUUUCGCUUCAAGAUGAUCACAGAGCCCAAUGCACAUAGACAGUCCAAGAGUCAGACCACCAAGAUCACUUCGUACACUCUUCAUUACAUGAACGGCUUCAAAAUCCCUUACACCCUCACCAUUGUUGACACUCCAGGCUUCGGCGACACGAGUGGCAUUGAGAGGGACAGACAGAUCACUGAGACUGUUAGGAAGUUUUUCCAGACUCCUGGUACGAAUGGUAUCAGUCAUAUUGACGCUAUUUGUCUUGUGGUCAAUUCCUCACUGGCCAGACUUACAGGACCGCAGAAGUAUAUCUUUGACCAAAUUCUGUCAGUAUUUGCCCGCGACAUUGCCAGCAACAUCUUUCUUCUCCUCACCUUUGCUGAUGGCAAUGAUCCACAGGCCUUAAGUGCAAUCACAGAGGAUAAAAUACCACAUCAAGCCCAUUUCAAGUUUAACAACUCUGCAUUAUAUACAUUCCAAAAUGAGGAACGUAAAGGUGAAGACCAUGACAGUGACGAUGAAGGAUUCACUGAAAUGUUCUGGAAAAUGGGAGUCAAAAGCUUUGUCAAGUUCCUAAACCAACUCAAGACUGUGAAGAGCAAAAGUCUCACUUUAACUCAAGAAGUUCUGAACGAGAGAAGCUCUCUUCAGACCUACAUUGAAGGCAUACAGGUAGAUAUCAAGAAUGGACUCAGCACUCUGGAUAGGCUCAAGAGAGAAUUGUCGAUCUUAGAAGACCACAAGGCAGAUAUCGCAAGGAACAAAGACUUUGAGUAUGAAGUUAAUGAAGAAGUGCAGGUGCAGAUCCCUACUCCUGUAGGUCAUUAUGUAACAAACUGCCUCCACUGUAACCGGACGUGUCAUGCAGACUGUGCUUACGCUGAUGACAGAGAUAAAAGGAAGUGUGUGGCCAUGAACUGGAUUGGCAACUGCAGGAUUUGUCCGCAUGAAUGUUACUGGGAUCUGCACAGAAACAUGAAAUACAGGUAUGAAACACAGCAGAGAAAGGUAAAGAAGACAUACAGUGAACUUCAUGAAAAAUAUGAAAAAGCAACGGAGGGAAAAUUGUCAGCUGAAAAACUGGUUGAGGAAAUUAAUGGAGAGUUUGACGCUUUACAGAUAAAAGUUGUAUGGAUGGCAGACUGUGUCAGAAAGUCAAUCGAGAGGCUUAAAGAAAUUGCUCUCAGACCAAGUCCAAUGUCCACGGUAGAAUAUGUGGACAUCCUCAUUGAGUCUGAAAAGAGUGAGGCCCGGCAGGGAUGGCAGGCCAGAGUGAACCAGCUCUAUAGAGUCAGGGAUGAGGCGGAACAAAUGCAAAAAAUAGCAAACGAUGGCUUUGAUCCGUUUGGUCAGUAUAUUGAAAACCUUCCAGUGAGAAAAGUUAGUGCAUUCAGUAGAAUGUAUAAUAAAGGCGUCAACUACAUCAUGAAGAAAUAUAAUGCUUAUUUAUCUGGAAAAAGUUAAGCUCCUUUGCUCUUAUAAUAAUUUCAUAUGUAGAAAGCAUGUGAAGAAAGCAGAAAACACACACACACACACACACACACACACACACACACACACACACACACACACACACACACACACACACACACACACACAC